rnacentral:rRNA from 1 species
CAGCAGCCGCGGUAAUACGUAGGUGGCAAGCGUUGUCCGGAAUUAUUGGGCGUAAAGCGCGCGCAGGCGGAUCAGUCAGUCUGUCUUAAAAGUUCGGGGCUUAACCCCGUGAUGGGAUGGAAACUGCUGAUCUAGAGUAUCGGAGAGGAAAGUGGAAUUCCUAGUGUAGCGGUGAAAUGCGUAGAUAUUAGGAAGAACACCAGUGGCGAAGGCGACUUUCUGGACGAAAACUGACGCUGAGGCGCGAAAGCCAGGGGAGCGAACGGGAUUAGAUACCCCGGUAGUCCUGGCCGUAAACGAUGGGUACUAGGUGUAGGAGGUAUCGACCCCUUCUGUGCCGGAGUUAACGCAAUAAGUACCCCGCCUGGGGAGU